AUUGAACGCUGGCGGCAGGCUUAACACAUGCAAGUCGAACGGUAACAGAGAGAAGCUUGCUUCCCUGCUGCCGAGCGGCGUACGGGUGAGUCAUGCCUAGGAAUCUCCCCAGUAGUGGGGGACAACUUGCCGAAAGUUAAGCUAUUACCGCAUACGUACUACGGAAGAAAGGAGGCGACCUUCGGGCCUUUCGCUAUUAGAGGAGCCUAGGUCGGAUUAGUUAGUUGGUGGGGUAAUGGCUCACCAAGACCGCGAUCCGUAACUGGAUCUGAGAGGAUGAUCAGUCACACUGGGACCGAGACACGGUCCAGACUCCUACGGGAGGCAGCAGUGGGGAAUAUUGGACAAUGGGGGGAACCCUGAUCCAGCCAUGCCGCGUGUGUGAAGAAGGUCUUAGGAUUGUAAAGCACUUUAAGUUGGGAGGAAGAGCAGUUAACUAAUAUUCGACUGUUUUGACGUUACCGACAGAAUAAGCACCGGCUAACUUCGUGCCAGCCGCCGCCGUAA
rnacentral:rRNA from 1 species